UUUAACGGCUGCGGUAUUUUGACCGUGCAAAGGUAGCUCAAUCACUUGUCUUUUAAAUAAGGACCUGUAUGAAUGGCACGACGAGGGCUCGACUGUCUCCUAUCCCCAGUCAAUGAAAUUGAUCUCCUCGUGAAGAAGCGAGGAUGUUAUUAUAAGACGAGAAGACCCUGUGGAGCUUUAAAUACUAGAAAAGCCCAUGUUAAGUACUUUAAAACACUAAAAGUAAAACAAAAUGACCCCUUUACUAAUAUUUUUGGUUGGGGCGACCGCGGAGUAAUAAAAAACCCCCACGUGGAAUGAGAACACACCUCCCACAACUAAGAGCCACAGCUCUAAUUAACGGAACAUCCGACCAGUAAGAUCCGGCCAUGCCGAUCAACGGACCGAGUUACCCCAGGGAUAACAGCGCAAUCCCCUUUUAGAGACCCUAUCGCCAAGGGGGUUUACGACCUCGAUGUUGGAUCAGGACAUCCUAAUGGUG
rnacentral:rRNA from 1 species